GGAGAAAAGCAGGGGAUCGCAAGACCUUGCGCUUUUGGAGCGGCCGAUGUCUGAUUAGCUAGUUGGUGAGGUAAAGGCUUACCAAGGCGUCGAUCAGUAGCUGGUCUGAGAGGACGACCAGCCACACUGGGACUGAGACACGGCCCAGACUCCUACGGGAGGCAGCAGUGGGGAAUUUUGGACAAUGGGGGAAACCCUGAUCCAGCCAUGCCGCGUGAGUGAAGAAGGCCUUCGGGUUGUAAGGCUCUUUUAGUCGGAAAGAAAAGAUCAUAAUGAACAAUUAUGAUUCAUGACGGUACCGACAGAAAAAGCACCGGCUAACUACGUGCCAGCAGCCGCGGUAAUACGUAGGGUGCGAGCGUUAAUCGGAAUUACUGGGCGUAAAGGGUGCGCAGGCGGUCUUGCAAGUCAGAUGUGAAAGCCCCGGGCUUAACCUGGGAAUUGCGUUUGAAACUACAAAGCUAG
rnacentral:rRNA from 1 species